rnacentral:tRNA from 1 species
GCCGGGGUGGCCGAGCGGACUAAAUAGAAGGAUCAUCUAGGUCAAGGCGCAGGCCUUGAGAGCCUGUGUCCCUUCGGGGACUCGCGGGUUCAAAUCCCGCCCCCGGCGCCA